rnacentral:misc_RNA from 1 species
GAUGAAGAACGUAGCGAAAUGCGAUAAGUAAUGAGAAUUGCAGAAUUCAGUGAAUCAUCGAAUCUUUGAACGCACAUUGCGCCCGCCAGUAUUCUGGCGGGCAUGCCUGUCCGAGCGUCAUUUCAACCCUCGAACCCCUCCGGGGGGUCGGCGUUGGGGACCUCGGGAGCCCCUAAGACGGGAUCCCGGCCCCGAAAUACAGUGGCGGUCUCGCCGCAGCCUCUCCUGCGCAGUAGUUUGCACAACUCGCACCGGGAGCGCGGCGCGUCCACGUCCGUAAAACACCCAACUUCUGAAAUGUUGACCUCGGAUCAGGUAGGAAUACCCGCUGAACUUAAGCAUAUCAAUAAGCGGAGGA